CCUACGGGUGGCAGCAGUAGGGAAUCUUCCACAAUGGGCGAAAGCCUGAUGGAGCAACGCCGCGUGGGUGAAGAAUGUCUUCGGAUCGUAAAACCCUGUUUUUAGAGAAGAAAGUGCGUGAGAGUAACUGUUCACGUUUCGACGGUAUCUAACCAGAAAGCCACGGCUAACUCCGUGCCAGCCGCCGCGGUAAUACGUAGGUGCCAAGCGUUAUCCGGAUUUAUUGGGCGUAAAGGGAACGCAGGCGGUCUUUUAAGUCUGAUGUGAAAGUCUUCGGCUUAACCGGAGUAGUGCAUUGGAAACUGGGAGACUUGAGUGCAGAAGAGGAGAGUGGAAAUCCAGGUGUAGCGGUGAAAUGCGUAGAUAUAUGGAAGAACACCAGUGGCGAAAGCGGCUCUCUGGUCUGUAACUGACGCUGAGGUUCGAAAGCGUGGGUAGCAAACAGGAUUAGAUACCCCGGUAGUC
rnacentral:rRNA from 1 species